rnacentral:rRNA from 1 species
GUAUCCUAACCGUGCGAAGGUAGCGUAAUCACUUGUUCUUUAAAUGAGGACUAGUAUGAAUGGCUUCACGAAAGCUAUACUGUCUCCUUUAUCUGAUCAGUUAAACUAAUCUUCCCGUGAAGAAGCGGGAAUUUACUUAUAAGACGAGAAGACCCUAUGGAGCUUUAAAUAUUUUUAAACAUUCGAAUUUUACAUUACUAUUUUAGAAAACUUUACUAAGCUCAUCGUUUUGUUUUAAAGUUUUAGGUUGGGGUGACCACGGAGUAUAACUUAACCUCCACGCAGAAAGAGACUUUCUCUCUAAGCAAAAAGCUACACCUUUAUGCAUCAAUAAAUUGACCUUAAUUGACCCAUUAUUUGAUCAACGAACCAAGUUACCCUAGGGAUAACAGCGCAAUCCGCUUUAAGAGCUCCUAUCGACAAGCGGGCUUACGACCUCGAUGUCGGAUCAGGGUAU